GACGAACGCUGGCGGCGUGCCUAAUACAUGCAAGUCGAACGCAGUGGGGACGGGGGAGUAACACGUGGGUAACCUCCCAUCAGAGGGGAUAACACUUGGAAACAGGUGCUAAACCGAUCCUGAUGGAUGUACCCGCGGUGCAUUAGCUAGUUGGUGAGGUAACGGCUCACAAAGGCAACGAUGCAUAGACGACCUGGGAGGGGGGUCGGCCACACUGGGACUGAGAAACGGCCCAGAUUCCUACGGGAGGCAGCGGUAGGAAAUCUUCGGCAAUGGACGAAAGUCUGACCGAGAAACGCCGCGUAGUUGAAGAAGGUUUUCGGAUCGUAAGACUCUGUUGUUAGAAAAGCGGUAUCUAACCAGAAAGCCACGGCUAACUACGUGCCAGCAGCCGCGGUAAUAC
rnacentral:rRNA from 1 species